rnacentral:rRNA from 1 species
AUGCACGCUGGCGGCGUGCCUAAUCCAUGCAAGUCGAGCGAACAGACGAGGAGCUUGCUCCUCUGACGUUAGCGGCGGACGGGUGAGUAACACGUGGAUAACCUACCUAUAAGACUGGGAUAACUUCGGGAAACCGGAGCUAAUACCGGAUAAUAUAUUGAACCGCAUGGUUCAAUAGUGAAAGACGGUUUUGCUGUCACUUAUAGAUGGAUCCGCGCCGCAUUAGCUAGUUGGUAAGGUAACGGCUUACCAAGGCGACGAUGCGUAGCCGACCUGAGAGGGUGAUCGGCCACACUGGAACUGAGACACGGUCCAGACUCCUACGGGAGGCAGCAGUAGGGAAUCUUCCGCAAUGGGCGAAAGCCUGACGGAGCAACGCCGCGUGAGUGAUGAAGGUCUUCGGAUCGUAAAACUCUGUUAUUAGGGAAGAACAAAUGUGUAAGUAACUAUGCACGUCUUGACGGUACCUAAUCAGAAGGCCACGGCUAACUACGUG